GGUAUAUAAUUCAGCCAGUUCCAUGUAAACACGUCUUUGUCACUUUUUUCUGGGAAAAACGAUUAUUUGUCUCGAAUUUGUGUACCUGAACGCACAUGAGUCACUGACAGCCCUUGGGUUCAAAACUUAGGCCGCGCAAAAGACUUAAUUAUGCACUUGGUAACUCUUAUAGGACUAGGUGUGCUGCUGCCGUUAUACACUAAAAGAGUGCACAGUAUAUUAAAAAAAUUAUUUAUAAUAUUGAAAAGCGAAGGCUUUCAAAAAUAACAAAGGAUAGGCUCUUUUGACGAAACAAAUUCAGAAGUGGAUUCAAAGAUGCUCACAAUAUCACAACAAGCUGAUAUUGCACAGAAUUGUACAAAGAGGAAGAGAGUGAAUAUAUGCUAAAAUUAAGGAAAACAGAAAAGGAAAUUGAGGAGAUUGAAAUAGAAACUAGAGACCAAGACGUAGCCGGCCACUGGAUGCAAAUGCGACGAAAAUUGCUAACCGCCUCAAAUUUUGAGAAGAUAUGUAAAUUAAAGAAAACAACAAGUGCUGCGGCUAAAGUAAAGCACUUACUCUACAAUGUCAUCUCGCAGAAUGUACCAUCACUAAACCACGGGAAAAUCCAUGAGAUCGACGCGAGAAAGGAAUUAGAACGGAAACUCAGUGAAGAAUGGGGCGAAAACGUCGUUAUUGAAGAAGGUUUUUUUUGGGAGCGGCGCCAGACGGCAUCAUUAAAAAGGAAUGUUGGUUGAAUUAAAAUGUCCUUACACUGCUUACAAAAAAAACUUACUCCGGAUGAAACCAUAACAAAGAAAGUAAUAAAUAACGUUCUGGAAGGUGACUUCCAAAAGAAUUUUGGAAAUUAACAAAAACCAUGAUUGGUUUUAUCAAGUACCAGGGCAAUUACAUAUUGCAAAUGAGAAAAAAAGCUUUAUUAUGUAUGUUUAUGGACUGGAGAGAACAAAAUUAAAACGGAGGUAAUUCAAAAAGAGGACGAAUUCUGGAUGCAAAAGAUGUUUCCGAAGCUGGAACAAUUUUACAAGACGGCACUACUUCCGGAAAUAAUUGAUUUAAGAGCUUCUAGGAGUAUGCCACUAAGAGACAUAAAUAGUAAUUUUUGUAUUAAGUGCGCGAAAUGAGUGUUUUUUUAAUGGCGCCUGAGAAUGUUAUUUUAGUCGAGACCGCCAGGUCGAGACCUAAAAGACAUUCGAAGGCGCCAUUAAAACAUGAAUUUCGCCACGAAAUACAAACAACGUUUUUUCUACAGCCUCCAGAUGAAGAAAAAAGUAACAGAAAUUAGUUGGAACAAAAUGGUCUGAUAAAUCGAGUUGCUUGCAUGGUUACGAUGAUAAAUAAAAGUGAUAGUUGCGAAAAAUUUGUCACAAUAGGUAUUUUUGUUGAAGAAGUGUGAUGGAUUUUAGCAGCGAAAACGAAAUAGAUGCAAUUGCAAGCGCGGCAGUGUCGAAUCUUUUGCCUGCUAAAUCAAGACCGCAGUACGAAAAAACGUAUCUUCAGUUUCGGCAGUGGUGUUCUAUGAAAAAGAUUGAUCAAGUAACGGAAAAUGUUUUGUUGGCGUAUUUGGAAGAAAAGUCUACCACCUUAAAGCCACCAACACUCUGGGCCCUUUAUGCGAUGUUGAAAGCCACCUUAAACGUUAAAGAGAAUAUCGAUACACGUAAGUUUCCGAAGUUAGUGCCCUACCUGAAAAGCAAAAGCGUAGGUUACAGAAGCAAGAAGUCGCAAAUUUUAGACAAAGAAGACAUUAGCAAGUUUAUUAAUGAAGCAGAUGACAAGAUAUAUUUACUGAUGAAGACUGUGCUAAUUUUGGGUAUAUCGGGAGCCCUUCGACGUGAAGAAUUAGUUAAAAUGAAGCUAACUGACAUAGAAGAUAAACAGUCUGUCUUAAUUGUGAAGAAAAUAUAGAAAUUGUCAGAAAAUAUAGAGCUUUGCGGCCUCCACGGGCGACUAGUGACCGUUUAUUUUUAAAGUAUACCAACGGAAAAUGUGUGAAUCAAAAUGUUGGAAUUAACAAAAUCGGAGAGAUACCAAGUUUGAUUGCAAAGUGGCUUAACAAAGACGAACCUAAAAAAUAUACUGGUCACUGCUUCAGAAGAAGCUCUGCCACUCUUUUGGCGAAUGCUGGAGGUGAUCUAAUUUCAAUUAAACGUCAUGGGGGCUGGAGAAGCAGCACAGUGGCAGAAAGUUACAUCGAGGACUCUUUGAAUAAUAAAAUUGAAAUUGCCAAUAAAAUUCAACCUUCUUCCUCCACAGAAGAAAACAAAAUCACUCAACCUUCUACAUCGGCUUCUUUUAAUGGCGAAAAUAACUUUCAUUUACAAGCGUCUUCACUCAGGCCUCUGGGGAUAAACGGGGGCACGUUUUCGUCAUGCACAUUUAAUUUUCAUAUGUCAAAGUAAAUAUCUAUUAUUAUUGUUUUGUAAUAUUGUUCUGUAUAAUUAUAAAACCUUUAAAACUA